UUUAUGGAGAGUUUGAUCCUGGCUCAGGAUGAACGCUGGCGGCGUGCCUAAUACAUGCAAGUCGAGCGAACGGAUGAGAAGCUUGCUUCUCUGAUGUUAGCGGCGGACGGGUGAGUAACACGUGGAUAACCUACCUAUAAGACUGGGAUAACUUCGGGAAACCGGAGCUAAUACCGGAUAAUAUUUUGAACCGCAUGGUUCAAAAGUGAAAGACGGUCUUGCUGUCACUUAUAGAUGGAUCCGCGCUGCAUUAGCUAGUUGGUAAGGUAACGGCUUACCAAGGCAACGAUGCAUAGCCGACCUGAGAGGGUGAUCGGCCACACUGGAACUGAGACACGGUCCAGACUCCUACGGGAGGCAGCAGUAGGGAAUCUUCCGCAAUGGGCGAAAGCCUGACGGAGCAACGCCGCGUGAGUGAUGAAGGUCUUCGGAUCGUAAAACUCUGUUAUUAGGGAAGAACAUAUGUGUAAGUAACUGUGCACAUCUUGACGGUACCUAAUCAGAAAGCCACGGCUAACUACGUGCCAGCAGCCGCGGUAAUACGUAGGUGGCAAGCGUUAUCCGGAAUUAUUGGGCGUAAAGCGCGCGUAGGCGGUUUUUUAAGUCUGAUGUGAAAGCCCACGGCUCAACCGUGGAGGGUCAUUGGAAACUGGAAAACUUGAGUGCAGAAGAGGAAAGUGGAAUUCCAUGUGUAGCGGUGAAAUGCGCAGAGAUAUGGA
rnacentral:rRNA from 1 species